rnacentral:ncRNA from 2 species
AAGACCGAUUAGUAUGACGAAAAAGGAACGUCCCUAAUGUCACUCUAAUGUCACUUCCUGACGACGGCAAAAUUGAUUCACGUAGCCAAAAGUAGCCAUAAAGUGCACAGAGAAUGAGUAGACUGGUGACAGUCUAGUGAAAAGUGGUAAACUCCACGAGGCAGAAACCCGAAUUUUGGUAGGGGAACUUCCUAUAGGGAAUCAAACCGAAGGGGAGAACGCAGGUCCUGCGUUAGAUAAAUAAUUUCCUAAAACAGAAACUGGCUUACGGU